rnacentral:rRNA from 1 species
UGGGGAAUUUUGGACAAUGGGCGCAAGCCUGAUCCAGCAAUGCCGCGUGCAGGACGAAGGCCUUCGGGUUGUAAACUGCUUUUGUACAGAACGAAAGGGCUCUGGAUAAUACCUGGGGCAGAUGACGGUACUGUAAGAAUAAGCACCGGCUAACUACGUGCCAGCAGCCGCGGUAAUACGUAGGGUGCGAGCGUUAAUCGGAAUUACUGGGCGUAAAGCGUGCGCAGGCGGUUUUGUAAGACCGAUGUGAAAUCCCCGGGCUCAACCUGGGAACUGCAUUGGUGACUGCAAGGCUGGAGUGCGGCAGAGGGGGAUGGAAUUCCGCGUGUAGCAGUGAAAUGCGUAGAUAUGCGGAGGAACACCGAUGGCGAAGGCAAUCCCCUGGGCCUGCACUGACGCUCAUGCACGAAAGCGUGGGGAGCAAACAGG